rnacentral:tRNA from 1 species
GCGGGUGUGGCGGAACUGGCAGACGCGCAUGGUUGAGGGCCAUGUCGGGGCAACCCGGUGGAGGUUCGAGUCCUCUCACCCGCA